UCGAUACGUCGGAUGUGAAAAUCAGGGGCUCAACCCUGACUUGCAUCCGAUACGGUCGAGCUGGAGUUUGGGUAGGGGAGACUGGAAUUCCUGGUGUAGCGGUGGAAUGCGCAGAUAUCAGGAGGAACACCGAUGGCGAAGGCAGGUCUCUGGGCCAAUACUGACACUGAGGAGCGAAAGCGUGGGGAGCGAACAGGAUUAGAUACCCUGGUAGUCCACGCCGUAAACGGUGGGCGCUAGUUGUGCGAACCUUCCACGGUUUGUGCGACGCAGCUAACGCAUUAAGCGCCCCGCCUGGGGAGUACGAUCGCAAGAUUAAAACUCAAAGGAAUUGACGGGGCCCCGCACAAGCAGCGGAGCAUGCGGCUUAAUUCGACGCAACGCGAAGAACCUUACCAAGGCUUGACAUAUACAGGAAUACGGCAGAGAUGUCGUAGCCGCAAGGUCUGUAUACAGGUGGUGCAUGGUUGUCGUCAGCUCGUGUCGUGAGAUGUUGGGUUAAGUCCCGCAACGAGCGCAACCCUCGUUCUGUGUUGCCAGCAUUUAGUUGGGGACUCACAGGAGACUGCCGGGGUUAACUCGGAGGAAGGUGGGGAUGACGUCAAAUCAUCAUGCCCCUUAUGUCUUGGGCUGCACGCAUGCUACAAUGGCUGGUACAAACGGCUGCAAUACCGCAAGGUGGAGCGAAUCCGAGAAAGCCAGUCUCAGUUCGGAUUGGGGUCUGCAACUCGACCCCAUGAAGUCGGAGUUGCUAGUAAUCGUAGAUCAGCAACGCUACGGUGAAUACGUUCCCGGGGCUUGUACACACCGCCCGUCACAUCACGAAAGUCGGUAACACCCAAAGUCAGUGGCCCAACCGUAAGGAGGGAGCUGCCAAAGGUGGGAUCGGUGAUUGGGAUGAAGUCGUAACAAGGUA
rnacentral:rRNA from 1 species